rnacentral:rRNA from 1 species
UACGGGGGGGGCAAGCGUUGUUCGGAAUUACUGGGCGUAAAGAGCUCGUAGGCGGCCAACUAAGUCAGACGUGAAAUCCCUCGGCUUAACCGGGGAACUGCGUCUGAUACUGGAUGGCUUGAGUUUGGGAGAGGGAUGCGGAAUUCCAGGUGUAGCGGUGAAAUGCGUAGAUAUCAGGAGGAACACCGGUGGCGAAGGCGGGUCUCUGGGCCGUAACUGACGCUGAGGAGCGAAAGCAUGGGGAGCGAACAGG